rnacentral:rRNA from 1 species
CCUACGGAGGGCUGCAGUGGGGAAUUUUGCGCCAUGCUCGUAAGAGUGACGCAGCGACGCCGCGUGAAUGACGAAGGCAUUCGGGUCGUAACGUUCUUUCGACAGGGAAGAAAAUGCAUCUAAGUAACUGUGUAUGUAUUGACGGUACAUGUAUAAGCAGCCCCGGCUAACUCCGUGCCAGCAGCCGCGGUAAUACGGAGGGGGCGAGCCUGGUUCGGAGUGACUGGGCGUAAAGAGCACGGAGGCGGUGUUGUAAGUCAUUAGUCAAAGACUAGAGCUCAACUUUAGUAAGGCUAGUGAUACUAUAAUACUAGAGUAUCAGAGAGGAUUGCAGAAGUCCUGGUGUAGCGGUGAAAUGCGUAGAUAUCAGGAGGAAUACCGUUAGCGAAGGCGGCAAUCUGGCUGGAAACUGACGCUGAGGUGCGAAAGCGUGGGUAGCAAACAGGAUUAGAUACCCUUGUAGUC